UUCUGCCUGUAAUGGGGCGCUCGUCUCAUUCCAUGCCAUGAGUUCUUGCUCUGCAAGUGAGCUAACAUCUUAGGAGACAUAGGAGGAACCGGAGAACUUGGUGUGUAAUCAUACCACCACCGGCCAUGGCCCAAACUAUGCAGGUGACUUUCAUAAUCACCACCUAGAUCUGACAAGGAGUUCGAUGCUUCCAGGGUUCCAACAGUACUAGCUGAUGACUGACAGCUUAAUUGACUAGGAUAAAUACUUUCGGAAGGAAAUUCAACUGGAGUUGAAGAUGACAUAUGGCUUAAUGAUCCAGCAGGAGACAGAACCUCAAGGUCAUUAGUGACAUGGUUCUCAUCCAGGCCAUUGCUUACAACAGGGGUUGUCUCAUCAACUGCAGAAGACAGGACGUGAGAGGAUAUUCUCUUGCCAUUGAAUUUGUAACUGUCUAGAUCCGUUAGUUCAGGAUUCCCAUUUAUUACAUCACCGUUUUCCACAGCUGACUGAGCAAAAUAUCUUGUUCCGUCAUUUGAAAUGGAUAGAUGAUGGAUCCUAGAAGUUGCUAGAUCUUUUGCAUCACCAGAUAGACGAUGUUGUGAAACCAAGCAACCAUUUCCAGAAUUGUAUGCUUCAAGGGUGUAUUUGUUCGAAUUCAUUUCUGCAUCUGGUAACGCAACAAUGUUGCCAUUCUGCAAUGUCAGUUCAGUAUCCCAUCUGCAUUCCCCGUUUAUGCCACUUGCUUCAGCAAACUCUGAUUCAAAAUUUCUCGGGUUGUCUUCGGAUGUUUCAGAACCUGGAAAUGUUGACCCGGCACUGUAUCUACAGUAUGGAUCUUGAACAUCAGGCCUCUGUCCGCUUACAUGCCUAUGCAAAGUGUUGAAAAAGAAUCUACUGAGUUCUUCAGCUACAUUUAAUUCUGGCUGUGAAAGAAUGCGUCCUAGCUUUCGAGCACCAUAGCCAAAAGCACUUCUUAUUCGGUAGAAGUUCCCUGCAGAGACAGUAGGGGUUAAAACUAUUACAUGAAGGCACAUUCAUCCCUUGCGCUCUGCAAUAACUCCUCUAUUCUCUAAUUUACUAGACUGACAACUUAUAUCCUUCUGCUUGCAAAUCAAACCAGACACUUUAAUUUAUUUUAUCUCAGAAGGUGCAAAAAGAUUCACAUGCAGCAGACGCAUCAUUAGAAAGGGGAACCACUUCUACCUUUGCUCACACUACGACCAAGGUUGUUGUUUUCUUUCAAUGGAUCAACGAUAUUGAGAUGCUUAGGAGGAAACAGCUGACGUUGAACACAACUUGGCCCCCAAAAUUCUACAUUGAUCAGUCCCCACCAUUCUAUACAUUAAGAGACCCUCCUAACUUGUUUCCUAUUGAUGCUUCAAAUCAGUAGGAAUCAUUAGUAGAAUGUACACAAAGAUUACUCCAAACCUAAGAGAACAACAUUAGAAUACAUAGUGUGUCAGCCAGCCCCGAGCCCCGAGCUAAUUAAGCUGGUUUUGUGUUACCAGUCGCUGCUCUUUUGUCUCUCAGGCUUUGGGAUCCACACAGCUGAUCCCUUCCCACCAUUCUCAGACAACGGCGGGAAAUUCUCAAUGGUUUUUUUCUUGUACUUCUGGCUUCGGUGUCCCUUGGGAUGGAUCGGUGACACUUGGGCUAACAAAAUCUGCGGUAAGCUGCCCGUCACUUUCGGCAGAAGGAAUCUCCAAUGCCAGAUGUCCAAUCGACCCAAACUCCACGAUCCUAUAUGCAGAAUGUGUUACACCAUUGACGUUGGAGUAUGGAUUGGGUUCAACAUGAUGAGAGUCUAAUGACGGUGAUUUCCAGCCAUCUACAUGACCGUGCCACUGUGGAAACUCAUGGCUGCUUCUAUCUGGAACUUUUGGCUCAUGGAAAGGAGCAAUGCGGCCAUUGCUACGAGGAGACCGUAGUGGCACUUGGUUUCUUCCCCUUGGGGUGAAAGGCCUUUCAUUGUAGUGGUUCUGCAAAAAUUAAGCAAAAAACCAUGGCUGAGAUCAAAAGUAACCACCUGAAUUGUUACCUUCCUAUGGACAACAUCCAAAUAUUAUGAAUCAGUAUACCACAUUGGGAAAAUAUGUUCCAGUUCCUCGCGGUCUAGAAACUUCUUCAGUAGCAAACAUUGGACCACGUAUUAAGGAUACAUUAAUUGCAUUGAACACAGGUCUUGGGCCAACACCAUUUGCAUUCUGCCUGUAAUGGGGCGCUCGUCUCAUUCCAUGCCAUGAGUUCUUGCUCUGCAAGUGAGCUAACAUCUUAGGAGACAUAGGAGGAACCGGAGAACUUGGUGUGUAAUCAUACCACCACCGGCCAUGGCCCAAACUAUGCAGGUGACUUUCAUAAUCACCACCUAGAUCUGACAAGGAGUUCGAUGCUUCCAGGGUUCCAACAGUACUAGCUGAUGACUGACAGCUUAAUUGACUAGGAUAAAUACUUUCGGAAGGAAAUUCAACUGGAGUUGAAGAUGACAUAUGGC
rnacentral:lncRNA from 1 species